rnacentral:rRNA from 1 species
CCUACGGGUGGCAGCAGUGAGGAAUAUUGGUCAAUGGCCGAGAGGCUGAACCAGCCAAGUCGCGUGAGGGAAGACGGCCCUACGGGUUGUAAACCUCUUUUGUCGGGGAGCAAAGAGAGUCACGUGUGACUCAUUGAGAGUACCCGAAGAAAAAGCAUCGGCUAACUCCGUGCCAGCAGCCGCGGUAAUACGGAGGAUGCGAGCGUUAUCCGGAUUUAUUGGGUUUAAAGGGUGCGCAGGCGGAGGUGCAAGUCAGCGGUCAAAUUGCGGGGCUCAACCCCGUACUGCCGUUGAAACUGCAUGCCUUGAGUGCGCGAGAGGUAUGCAGAAUGCGUGGUGUAGCGGUGAAAUGCAUAGAUAUCACGCAGAACUCCGAUUGCAAAGGCAGCAUACCGGCGCGCAACUGACGCUCAUGCACGAAAGCGUGGGUAUCGAACAGGAUUAGAUACCCCGGUAGUC